rnacentral:rRNA from 1 species
CUACGGGUGGCUGCAGUGGGGAAUUUUGGACAAUGGGCGAAAGCCUGAUCCAGCAAUGCCGCGUGCAGGACGAAGGCCUUCGGGUUGUAAACUGCUUUUGUACGGAGCGAAAAGGCUUCCACUAACACUGGAGGCCCAUGACGGUACCGUAAGAAUAAGCACCGGCAAACUACGUGCCAGCAGCCGCGGUAAUACGUAGGGUGCAAGCGUUAAUCGGAAUUACUGGGCGUAAAGCGUGCGCAGGCGGUUAUGUAAGACAGAUGUGAAAUCCCCGGGCUCAACCUGGGAACUGCAUUUGUGACUGCAUAGCUAGAGUACGGCAGAGGGGGAUGGAAUUCCGCGUGUAGCAGUGAAAUGCGUAGAUAUGCGGAGGAACACCGAUGGCGAAGGCAAUCCCCUGGGCCUGUACUGACGCUCAUGCACGAAAGCGUGGGGAGCAAACAGGAUUAGAUACCCCAGUAGUC